rnacentral:rRNA from 1 species
UACGGAGGGGGCUAGCGUUGUCCGAAGUUACUGGGCGUAAAGCGCGCGUAGGCGGGUUGGUAAGUCCGCUGUGAAAGCCCGGAGCUUAACUCCGGAGGGUCGGUGGAUACUGCCAGUCUUGAAGGUGCUAGGGGGAGAUGGAAUUACCGGUGUAGCGGUGAAAUGCGUAGAUAUCGGUAGGAACACCAGUGGCGAAGGCGGUCUCCUGGGGCAUUCUUGACGCUGAGGCGCGAAGCUGGGGGAGCAAACGGG